GUCCUAAUAGCUUAAUAGCAUAAAGCAUUAGUUUUGUAAACUAAAUAUGGGU
rnacentral:tRNA from 1 species